AUUGAACGCUAGCGGUAUGCCUUACACAUGCAAGUCGAACGGAGUGGCGAACGGGUGAGUAAUGUAUCGGAACGUGCCCAGUAGCGGGGGAUAACUACGCGAAAGCGUAGCUAAUACCGCAUACUAUUGGAGCGGCCGACAUUGGAUUUGCUAGCUGGUGGGGUAACGGAUCACCAAGGCGACGAUCCGUAGCUGGUUUGAGAGCACGACCAGCCACACGGGGACGUGGAAACGGCCCAGACGCCUACGGGAGGCAGCAGUGGGGAAUGUUGGACAAUGGGGGAAACCCGGAUCCAGCCAUCCCGCGUGAGCGAUGAAGGCCUUCGGGUUGUAAAGCACUUUUGGCAGGAAAGCGGUACCUGCAGAAUAAGCACCGGCUAACUACGUGCCAGCAGCCGCGGUAAUUC
rnacentral:rRNA from 1 species